ACAAUUCAGCUGCAGAUAUC
rnacentral:miRNA from 1 species